rnacentral:tRNA from 1 species
GUGUCUGUAGCCUACUAGUGGUAAAAGGCAGCACUCUAGAUGCUGAGGUCGUGGGUUCAAAUCCCACCAGAAACA